rnacentral:rRNA from 1 species
CCCUCUGUCCCUAUCUACUAUCUAGCGAAACCACUGCCAAGGGAACGGGCUUGGAAAAAUCAGCGGGGAAAGAAGACCCUGUUGAGCUUGACUCUAGUCUGGCACUGUAAGGAGACAUGAGAGGUGUAGCAUAAGUGGGAGACGGUAACCAUUCCGCCGCCGGUGAAAUACCACUACUUUCAUCGUUUCUUUACUUACUUGGUUAGGCGGAAGGCGUACGUCGAGGGUAUUUCGCCCCGGCAGUACGGUCUUCUCGCGCCAAGCGUUCAAGGGUUGCCGGCGGACAGAAGUGCGGGUCGGUGUCGGUGAGUCGUGAACCCGGCUUGCCGAGCCACGGCCCGGCAUCGGCUUUAGCACCAUCUGAACCCGACCGGCAAACACUCCCUAGCGUGAUCCGAUCCGAGGACACUGCCAGGCGGGGAGUUUGACUGGGGCGGUACAUCUGUCAAAGAAUAACGCAGGUGUCCUAAGGCCAGCUCAGCGAGGACAGAAACCUCGCGUAGAGCAAAAGGGCAAAUGCUGGCUUGAUCCCGAUGUUCAGUACGCAUAGGGACUGCGAAAGCACGGCCUAUCGAUCCUUUUGGCUUGAAGAGUUUUCAGCAAGAGGUGUCAGAAAAGUUACCACAGGGAUAA